rnacentral:sRNA from 1 species
UGAUGCUGAGUGAUCCCAACUUCCCAAGUCACAGUUUUCUGACUGGCGUCCGUAGUUCUGCUGCUGAGGCGUCCGUCAGCAGUUGGUCAUGGAAGUCUUGAUGCGCCAUCUGGGCGUCCUCGACUCGGUACGUUCAAUGUUUCCUCGGACUCCGGUGCCCAUUUGGCUUGUAAUGCUGAGUUAACUCCGAGCGCAAGGAGUUAACCAUCAGUUCGCCGUUCAUGUCAUCGCCUUCUUUUCCAUUUGCUCCUCCUCUCCAAAUGGGGCUAUUGGACGGCUCCUGAAGCUGGUUUUAAACCCGGUUUUCCCUCUUUUCUUCACCAGCGACUACAGAUGUACUGGUAAUGGUAGUUCAGUUCGUUCCCCGCUACUACCGCCUAUCAUGCUUAUGGUUGUUCUUCGGGGCGUCUAUCUCGAGGCCUGACAAGAAGAGAGCUGACAUCUGAUAGAUGGAGUACGCUCGGCUUCGCCCUCUCCACCUUGUGUCAACUUGACAGGUGGAAGCCCGUUUUUCAGCGGGCGACUGAGUGGACGAAGACGCAAUCCACGUGUGGUUUGCAUAACGCCCACGUUGGCGUCUAUAUCUUUUCUUUUUCGUUGCUUGCCUUUCUUUGCUUUUUUUAAACUUUCUGAACGGGAAGGGCUGAUCCUCGAAACAAAGAAUUCUGAAUUUCCUCGGACACAGGUGACAGCGGGCGAAGUAUGUCCAUCGAUUUCAUCCGUCUUCGAGUGACCACGCAACAUUCCCUCCGUUUUGCCCAGCACCGUACAGAGUACGUCUCAGCCAGUUUGUGUGUUUCGCUAUCGUCCUGCCUGGCUGCUUAUGGGUCCUUGUUGCAGCUAGGUCUUGAACUCCAACCCUCAGCUCACUUACGGGAUCGACGCCCCAUCCCUUGACGUGAGGAUGCCCGUCAUGAGGGUUGGGAACUUGGAAUAGUCUAUGAUCUAGGUGAAUAGAUGGACGGGAAUUCGUCUAGUUAUUGCGGCUUCACGCGCGCGUAUCCAUCUAGAUAGAUAUGUAUACGCAUGUUGCGUAAUUAUGUUCAGACCUUGGCAAAUAUCUUGCUGUCUAUUUGCCCUCCUUCUGGAACAUAUAAAGCCAAAUGGCAGCUAUGCGGUGCCGACAGAUUACAUGAAAGGGGCCAUGAAUCCACAGUCAGGUCGCAGUUUGGACUCUUGUGGAGUUGACGUCGGAACGACCUCACUGUCAUAAGAGACAUGAGGUUGAACCAUAUAUAUAUAUGUAUAUUUGAGUUCGCACCAGGAAACUGAUUUCGUUGGCAACAAACCUGAAUUUUAGCAGCCAUAUCUGCACUGGCAAAUCCAGUUAUCUCUCACUGAGGGUGAUGGAAGCCUAUAUUUUACCUCAAUGGAGGCAGUUGGAUAAGUUGGCAUUGCUCAAAGAAAAUGACAAGCUAAGCUGGUUGGAGCAAGUAUACAAGUAUACGAUCUAACACUUCAAGACAUAUCUAUACAUUUAGAACUCUUGGGUGGCCAAAGUGGAGAGCGAAUACCGCCACCACGAUCAUCCUGUGUCGUGCAAAAAUGUCAGAAAACCGAGUGAAAUCCAUAUCCACUGGUAUCAAAAGGUUCAUGGCCAGCUGCUAAGGGGAAAGGAGGUGAGGCCGCGGAGUAAGGGUGGUGGGGAGAAACUUACACUCCUUCAAGCGCAAUAAACAGGCCUUCCCUCUUAAUUAACUUCCCAUUAAAUCCAUGAAGCAACUCCGCAACCCGGUAUAUACAUCGGAUAAAAAUCAACAAGAUUGCCAACGAAAACGCAGGGAAAAAAAUGUACAAGCGCCCGAGCGCCGUACAAGCGGACCCACCAACACUAACUCUACCCGCCUUUAUCUCAUAGCCAUUAACCUCCUUCCACAGAUAUCCUCGUCGGUAAACCCUGGUAAACAACUCCAGCAGCAACAAAAUAAAUACGAACAAACUCAGCACCUGAAAUACCAACCCUGCAACCAUGACAUCAAUACCCGCAAGCCGAUUCUGCCUCUUUAGCAUCGCAUUACUCGCGAUCCCACCUCCUAGGCCUUGCAAUAAAAGACUAAUAAAGUCGCAAGGGAUGAAUAUCCACGCAUACUGCCUCGGAUCCAACCUCGACGUGCCCUCACACCCAAACAGCCGAGCGAUAUCUGUCAUGCAGAAAUAGAUCGCCGCGGUGAAGAGCGCCGGCGCGAUCGUGAGGGCACAUAUCUGUAUCAGGAAGCCGUUGAGGCUGAACGGGUCCCUAUUUAGCAUGAGUCGUCCAGCGUAGCCGAUUAUCUCGCCCACGCAACCUAGGAGGAUUGGCACUGUGAAUAUAGCAUGGCUUCGCCAGAUGGAGAACUGGAUGAGGUGGAUUAGGGCGGAUAGGGCGAAGAGGCAGAUGAAGAGUGCGUUUGCGGCCAGGGAGGGGCGGUAUUCGUAUAUGCUUGCUUCAAUCGGGCAGCUGGAUCUGGAACACCCAUAAUAACCCAUGUUGGUUCACUGUCGUCUUCAGUCCAGCACUUGAGAAGUUGGAGAAUGCUCCGUUCAGUUGGUGCGUGUGGCAUUGGAAAUCGGCCGCACGGUUGAAAAGCAAUCACCGGUGUUUGGAGAUAUGAUACAAAGCCGAGGCUGGCGGGCUGGAGAAAGCAGGAGACCGUGUGUAACAGUCAGUAUGGUGUCUCUUCAUUUUCACCCCUUCAUAAGUGUGGCACAUCAGCGCAUCCUGCGCGAGUGGGCAACCACCAAUGUUGUAAUAUAAGGCCCGCCAUGUAGGCACAACCCGCCUAAACAAUAUAAAAAAGAACGUUGCACUGCCACAUGGGUUUCGCGCGCCAAGGACAAAAGCCAUUUAUUUAUGGACUCGAUAUCCGCGAGCGUGCAACGUGGGCGAAGUCAGGGCUGACUCACUGAAAGUUUCGUUCCGAACAUUCGCCUCUUCCCCGCCCCCCUUGGUAGCCAUGGUCUGGAAGGUCAGACAGAAGCUGGGAUAGAAAUGGUCUGACUACAACCCGUUGGCGCUUUGCAUCGUUGUGGAGUUUUCUCAAUUGUUGAGAAUCGCCGAGCUAGAUUAUAUAUUCAUCUCCUUCCCUUCCAAAAACCCAUUUGCGAAGCCAAUUUCACCUGUGGCAAUCUGACAAGAAUAGGUUGCGUCUUGUCCCCUAUGCUUGACUUAUAGCCGACCCGGUAUACGGUGUUCCUAGGAUGGCUUCCUUUGUUGUGCCAGAGUCGGGAGAACUUUCGCUGGGUUCCAUGUCACUUCGAGCCGCCACAGAGCGCUGCCUCAACCCGCCAACGCCAUAAUAGUAAGAAUAGCAUACGUUUCCUCGUUGUAGAUGAAUGGGAGGGACAGUGUUAUGCCACGUGAAGGGGGGAAGAACUACGCGUGAGGUUGAAUAUCUCUGAAACAAGUAUCCAUGUUGCUAAAAAAAAAAAAUGGAAAACCCGAAGUUUAAUAUUGUAUAUUGUAACCAUGGUAGAAGGGGCAACUAACUAAUUCGAAAAAAAAAAAAUAAAAAAAAUAAAAACCCCGAGAGAUACGAUACUAAACAAAUCCAAGUUGAGAAAAAGGAAAUGAUGGAGAUGAAGAUGGAGAGGAAGAACUCGUAGAGGCAGAACCCUCAAUCAACGACGGCAUGAUCUUCCCUUAUCGGACCCCCUUUUCUUCCGCGUUCAGUAAAUCUAUAUCGACGACGAUUCAUCCAUGAGCCCCCUUCAGAAACACGAUAGAAAUAAAUAACAUACAAAAUCCUACAAAUAACAUCCAGGAAAAAAAAUGAACGAACAAAAUGCCCAGGCGCACGCCCACGCCCAAACGAAUAAUAGCGACGAAAGGAAGGAAAUAUAGAGAAGAGUCUAAAAAAAAACAUAAAAUAAAUAAAAGUAAAAGAAAAGAAAAGAAAAGAAAAAAAAAAGAAUAUAAAAUAAUAUAAAAGGACAACAUCUUUCUACCGAAUCACCCGAAUCGGCCCAUCCCUAUCUGUUCGGUUCCAGAUCCAUUCCGUGAAAUCGUCGUAUCCGCUCGCCUGUUGCUGG